AUGCUCGCACCUGUUAACGGCAGAGACUGGCAAUUCAUCACCGCGGAUUCUCACACUGCUGAACGUGGCCCUGGCGGGGGGACAUCUCCUCGUGGUACCCCCUUGGAGGAACCCAUCCCUUCCUCCCUCCCCAAGCAUCCUCCCACGGGAAAGGAGAUACGUGUUUGCAGAGCCUCCAAGGGGAAAAACCAAACCAACCCAAAACCUAACAGUGCGAGCGUGGUUCGAAGUGUCCGCGGUAGAGACAGGGACAACCUGCUGUCACAGCCACCUACGGGACAUGGGCUGGGCAGCUUCCGCCGAGGACGCGUUCCCCGGACUGCGCCAGGGCAGCUGCAAGCGGAGCAGCGGGGCUCUGCCACCUGCGGGGACACUGCGGUGGCUCCCGGGGACCUUGUGUGCCUCUAUUUAGAAGAAAAUUCUCCCGCUUCGCCUGCAGCCCGCGACAAGAGCGUUCAGCAUAAAUCAGACUUUCACAGCCGUCUUAGAGUGGAAGGAGCAAGAAAUCACGUUUUGUCUCCUGUCCAGGAGCUCUGGGAGAAAGGAGCUGUCAGAAACCCAGAAAACAGCCCAGAUCUGCUGACACGUGCUCUGGGACUCCUUCUGCACGGCGCUGCCUUCACCCAUCUGCUGUAACAACUCCAUCAGCUCUCACGCGCUGCUUUUCCCAGACGGGAUCCCAGCCAGGCUGCUGGCGCACAAGCGGAGCUGUGCCCUGAGCAAGGGAUACCAAAACAUCUUUUGGGCUGGGUUAUACUCUGCCCUGCAUCUCAUGCAAGCCAUCAAGAGGGUUUUAACACAGACCCAGAUCAGGUGUGGUGCCCUGCUGUGAACAUUUGCGCUCUCCUGGGGUUGUGUCUUUAGGGUCUUUUUUUUCCCUAGAGGACCAGCCCAGAGAAGUCACCCUUUCACAUGCUUUUCUAACUCUCUCGUCACUAGUCUCACUAGGAAUUAUUUUCUGUAUAUUUAGGUAGAAUUUCCCUUGCUGUGCCUUGUGUCCAUUGCCUCCCAUGCCUUCCAAGAGGAUGGUGCCUCCGCUAUCUCCUUCUUCUCUGACUGAACAAACCUAUCUCUCUCCACAUCUUCCAGCUUGGCAAAGUACUGCUGAUUUUCCUUGUACAGCUUCACAAGCAUUUGAGGGAGAGGGGCAAGUUCCCACAAACACUACGUGGGUCAUGCCCAUCUGAGCAUCUCCCAGCAGGGAGGGAGGGUUUGGUGGAGGCGGCUGCAGAAAUCCUACCAAUGCCUGCAGUGGAGUCCAGCAAGAAACCAAAAGCUCCAUUGCUGAUCCUGUUGAAACAGAGGGUUAAAGCCUCUCUGUUAGAGCCAUUCCCUGCUACUGAGAUCCAUACAGUCUAUUAAAAUUAGGGAUCUUAUUAUGGGCUAUAUAAAAAGGUAAAGAGGAAAUGAGAACCGUAUGAAGGGUUUCUUAUGUGUGCAGAUGGCAAGGGCAUGUGAGGCUGAGAAAACCUUUCCAACAGGCUUUUCCCAAACAGAAAUGCUUACCUUACAGGGUUUGCACUCUUCUAAAAAGAGGUAAAUAGAUGCAGGAGUAUCUAUCCUGCACAAUUCACACUGGCCAACCAGCCACACUGUCCUUGGGAUGGAGAAACAGACCCCAAACCCAUAUUGUGCUCUGUCCUGGUUACAGCUGAGAUGGAGUUAAUUUUGUUCUAGUAGCUGGUACAGUGCUGUGUUUUUGAUUUUGUAUGAGAAUAAUGUUGAUAACACGCUGCUGUUUUAGCUGUUGCUAAGUAGUGCUUACCCUAAGUCAAGGACUUUUCAGUUUCCCAUGCUCUGCCAGUGUGGAGGUGCACGAGAACCUGUGAGGGAGCACGGCCAGGACAGCUGACCCGAAGUGGCCGAAAGGAUAAUCCAUACCACAGAUCAUCAUGCUCAGUAUAUAAACUGGGGGGAGCUGGCCAGGAGCCACUUAUCACUGCUUGGGAAUGGGAUGGUGAGCAUUUGUAUUGUGCAUGCCUUGUUUUUCUUGGGUUUUAGUCCUCUCUCUCUCUUUGUAAUCUUCCUUACUAUUAUUAAUGAAUUAAUAUUAUAUUGUAACUAAUUUCAAUUAUUAAACUGUUCUCAGCCCAUG
rnacentral:lncRNA from 13 species